GCGCCGGUAGCUCAGCUGGAUAGAGCAUCAGCCUUCUAAGCUGAGGGCCACUGGUUCGAAUCCAGUCCGGCGUG
rnacentral:tRNA from 1 species